rnacentral:rRNA from 1 species
CAGUCGCCACGGUAAUACGAGGGGGGCAAGCGUUGUUCGGAAUUAUUGGGCGUAAAGGGUGCGUAGGCGGUUUGGCAAGUUUGGUGUGAAAUCUUCGGGCUCAACUCGAAGUCUGCAUCGAAAACUGCCGGGCUUGAGUAUGGGAGAGGUGAGUGGAAUUUCCGGUGUAGCGGUGAAAUGCGUAGAUAUCGGAAGGAACACCUGUGGCGAAAGCGGCUCACUGGACCAUAACUGACGCUGAUGCACGAAAGCUAGGGGAGCAAACAGGAUUAGAGACCCCAGUAGUCCCUGUCUCUUAUAA